UCAACAAAAUUCAAUCCCUCUCUUUCUUUUUUAACUCAAACCAGAGAAGAAAUAAUCCAAACAACCCCCAAGCCAACAUACAAGCUUCAACCGCCCAUAGACGUCGACCCUUCGACUUCCGGCGACGCUCCCUCGACACAGGGCUGCUGUUGAGUUGUUACACGCAGACGAAAUUAGGUGUCUUCAAAACUCAAAUUACUUUGGAUACAGAUCCCGAAAUCCAUAAUCAUUUUCCUUGUCCCAAAAAACAUUUAUAAGUUUGAUUAUCUACCUUUUAAUUUCGAAAGGCCAGUUUUGAAUCCUGGUUUAGAGGCAAAGUGGGCCUCCAUUAUCAUCCGCUUCUAAAUAAGCAAAAUGGGUAAACUUUCCAGCACUCUUGAGACUAUGCAUAUAUAUAGUGAGAGUUUGAUCCAUUUGGAUGCUUUGCCCUUCGGGUUGCAUGAUAUAUCUACCAGAAAAGGAAAAGGAAAAACAGCGAAACCUUAAUUAUUUUAUUUAUAUAGGUAUAAUGAGGAUUGCUGCUACCGAUGAAGAACAAGAACAUGACAUUAUCUCAAACUACAUUAUUAGACAUGUAUGUUUGGUCCACCCAACUUACCUCCAAGUUGCGGAUAAAGCCUAUGAGCUGUGACCUAUAUUUUUAUAUUACGUUGUUGAAACCUUGUACUGAUCGUCACCAAACUUGGCAAAAACAAAUGCACACGACUUUAUCAGUUUUA